AUGUGCCAAGCACCCGGCCGAGACCUAUCUUUAGCGCGUUCUCAUUUUAAAUGUCAUGACAUACCCCAAGGGAGGAACUGUCCCCAUUUGAUACAGAACCAAAUCUCAACCAGAGAAGGUGGCGUGUCUGGCCCAGGUCGCAGUGCGGGUCACGGCGAUACCAGGGCUCCUAACUCAGGAGCAGGGCUCUCUGUCCGUCGCCCCUCCGCCCGGAAGGAGAGAGCGGAUGGCCACCGCGCCAGCCCCCUACCCUGGCCGGAGCUCACCUGCCACCCACGUGGGCCGCGCGCACCUGCCCCCCACCCCCGCGGGGCCAGCCGAGGCUGCCCCAAAGGCCCGCACUACCUCCCUCGGAUCCCAGCUGUCUCCAAGGGCCCUGGAGCUCCGCACUGCGCCGGCCGGCGGGGGACAGAGGGCCCCGCACGCAAGGCUGGACGCCCACGCCCACCCCGCCACCCGCGCCCCACGCGCAGCCGCUCCCCCAAGCCACCCGCCCCGCACCCGUCCCCACCAGCAACUGCGCCCGGACACACAAUUCCACAAACGCAGCCCAAAAUGUGCACACCCACUGCACACACGGAUCCCCACGAGGACACGCCAUUCCAGGGACACGCCACCGUCCUCGGUCACCCACAACUCCACCACGCAGACAAACCCAGGCACCCCCAACACACACACGCGAGCGCGCGCGCACACACACACACACACACACACACACACACUCACGCACGCAGAGAGCCCGAUCGUAGCUCACGCCAGUGCACACGCCGGCACUCUCCGGAGCCCGCAGCCCCUCGCUGCCCUACCUGCUCCGCAGCAGGACGCGGUCCGCCGGCUUCCCCAGCCCAAGUUCGGCGCCGCGGGCGCUGGGGCAGGCGCGGGCCGCUGCCCGGGACGAGCGCGCCGAGGCCGGGAGGGUGGCUAGGAGCGCGGGCCUCCGUGCGCCCGCAGCCUCCGCGCCGGCCCUGCGUUCAUCGCCUCCCAGAAAAACAAAAGGAAGCCGGCAGCGAGGGAGGGAAAGAGGUGGAGGCGCCCGCCUGUCCGCCGGUCCGCCCGUCCGCCGCCUGCGGUCGCCUCGGCCCGCCUGCCAGCGCCGGGAAGGAAGGGACUCGAAGGCGGGACCCGGAGGCGGGGGCCGGGGGCGGAGCGUGCGGCCGGGGCUGGCGCUCAAGUUUCCAGCGGACCCACCCCCGUCUCGGCCACGCCCCCGUCUUGCCCCCGCCCACCUACCCUGCUCGGGUCGCGCCCCCGUCCCUAGCCACGCCCCUUGCUGGCCCUUCGGCCCGGGGCCUCAGAGCCUUCCGCGCCGGCCCCUCGCGGCCCUUUAGCGCACUCUCCGCCCGGCCUAGGCCUUAA
rnacentral:lncRNA from 1 species